rnacentral:rRNA from 1 species
AUGACCAGCUUGCUCGGGAAGUUGGUUGAGGGUUGGACGUCCCUUAAUGGCUCUGACAGCGACGCGGUUGCGAGGCAGUUCACUCCAUUUGUUGCAGAACGGACACAUCGGCCAACUGGUUGCCGUGGUCGGUACGACGACAACAGCUCGCAGGAGCUUCCUGACACACAAGAUGAACUAGAUGGAGAUGCUGCUCUCAACAAGGACAAUGACGAUGACAUGGAGAACGUGCAACAUGACACCGACGAUGAUGAACAUGUUGAAGUUCGUGCAGGUGGUAAGAAGGGCAAGGGUGCACCAGAUGUCCCCUCACCGGAGAAAGUCAAAGAACAGACAGCUGCGAGAGGCAAGGGGGUGUCGCCCUCAAAGAGGGGGAGGGAUCCAGAGGAUGUUGGGCAGGGCUCUCCUGUCAAGAGACCUAGGACCGAUCCCUUAGCUGCUAGGAGGAGGUUCGACUUCUAUUUUAGUGUUUUGUUUUGUCUCUCCUUUCUAAUAGACUGA